AGAGUUUGAUCAUGGCUCAGGAUGAACGCUGGCGGCGUGCCUAACACAUGCAAGUCGAGGGAUUCUCUUCGGAGAAGAGCGGCGGACGGGUGAGUAACGCGUGGGUAACCUGCCCUGUACACACGGAUAACAUACCGAAAGGUAUGCUAAUACGAGAUAAUAUGCUUUUAUCGCAUGGUAGAAGUAUCAAAGCUUUUGCGGUACAGGAUGGACCCGCGUCUGAUUAGCUAGUUGGUAAGGUAACGGCUUACCAAGGCGACGAUCAGUAGCCGACCUGAGAGGGUGAUCGGCCACAUUGGAACUGAGACACGGUCCAAACUCCUACGGGAGGCAGCAGUGGGGAAUAUUGCACAAUGGCGAAAGCCUGAUGCAGCAACGCCGCGUGAGCGAUGAAGGCCUUCGGGUCGUAAAGCUCUGUCCUCAAGGAAGAUAAUGACGGUACUUGAGGAGGAAGCCCCGGCUAACUACGUG
rnacentral:rRNA from 1 species